rnacentral:rRNA from 1 species
AUUGAACGCUGGCGGCAGGCUUAACACAUGCAAGUCGAGCGCGCGGCGGAGGGGUGAGUAAUGUGUGGGAAACUGCCAUAUGGAGGGGGAUAACUAGUGGAAACGGUAGCUAAUACCGCAUACCAUCAGAUGUGCCCAGAUGGGAUGAGCUAGUAGGUGGGGGAAUGGCUCACCUAGGCCACGAUCCCUAGCUGGUCUGAGAGGAUGACCAGCCACACUGGAAAUGAGACACGGUCAAAACGCCUACGGGAGGCAGCAGUGGGGAAUAUUGCACAAGGGGCGCAAGCCUGAUGCAGCCAUGCCGCGUGUGUGAAGAAGGCCUUCGGGUUGUAAACCACUUUCAGCGAGGAGGCGUUACUCGCAGAAGAAGCACCGGCUAACUCCGUGCCAGCAGCCGCGGUAAUAC